rnacentral:rRNA from 1 species
GUUGGCCCUCGAUCCGGGGGGGA